rnacentral:rRNA from 1 species
AUUGAACGCUGGCGGCAGGCUUAACACAUGCAAGUCGAGCGGAGAUGAGGUGCUUGCACCUUAUCUUAGCGGCGGACGGGUGAGUAAUGCUUAGGAAUCUGCCUAUUAGUGGGGGACAACAUUCCGAAAGGAAUGCUAAUACCGCAUACGCCCUACGGGGGAAAGCAGGGGAUCUUCGGACCUUGCGCUAAUAGAUGAGCCUAAGUCGGAUUAGCUAGUUGGGGGGGUAAGGGCCUACCAAGGCGACGAUCUGUAGCGGGUCUGAGAGGAUGAUCCGCCACACUGGGACUGAGACACGGCCCAGACUCCUACGGGAGGCAGCAGUGGGGAAUAUUGGACAAUGGGCGGAAGCCUGAUCCAGCCAUGCCGCGUGUGUGAAGAAGGCCUUUUGGUUGUAAAGCACUUUAAGCGAGGAGGAGGCUACCUGGAUUAAUACUCUAGGAUAGUGGACGUUACUCGCAGAAUAAGCACCGGCUAACUCUGUGCCAGCCGCCGCCGUAAGAC